GACGAACGCUGGCGGCGUGCUUAACACAUGCAAGUCGUACGGUAAGGCCCUUUCGGGGGUACACGAGUGGCGAACGGGUGAGUAACACGUGAGUAACCUGCCCACAACUUUGGGAUAACGCUAGGAAACUGGUGCUAAUACUGGAUAUGUGCUCCUGCUGCAUGGUGGGGGUUGGAAAGUUCCGGCGGUUGUGGAUGGACUCGCGGCCUAUCAGCUUGUUGGUGGGGUAGUGGCCUACCAAGGCGGCGUCGGGUAGCCGGCCUGAGAGGGUGACCGGCCACAUUGGGACUGAGAUACGGCCCAGACUCCGACGGGAGGCAGCAGUGGGGAAUAUUGCACAAGGGGCGCAAGCCUGAUGCAGCAACGCCGCGUGCGGGAUGACGGCCUUCGGGUUGUAAACCGCUUGCAGCAGGGACGAAGCUUUUUGUGACGGUACCUGCAGAAGAAGCACCGGCUAACUACGUG
rnacentral:rRNA from 1 species